GUGUGUGUGUGUCCCCUGCAGAUGUCUCAGUCCCAGAACAAGGUCUACCUGAACGCCGACAGCCUGGUGCUCAACGUGCAGGCCAGCGACAAUUUACACUUGUUGCUGGGGAAGUAGGAGGACGUCAUCUGGUCCUCGUCUUCGGG